rnacentral:rRNA from 1 species
UGGAAGUAAUUUUCGUAACAAGGUUUCCGUAGGUGAACCUGCGG